rnacentral:snRNA from 1 species
AUAAUUUCUUAGACUUUUAGCUAAGAUCAAGUGUAGUAUCUGUUCUUAUCAGUUUAAUAUCUGAUACACUCUCGAUGAGAGGACUUUAUAUUAAACAGACUUUUAGAUUCAGGAGUUGGAUCUGGAGCUUGCUCCCUCUGCUAAUGGUUGGACUCUAUGAUCUUAAAGGUCCUUUCCAACCACUGUGA